GAUGAACGCUGGCGGCGUGCCUAAUACAUGCAAGUCGAGCGAACAGACGAGGAGCUUGCUCCUCUGACGUUAGCGGCGGACGGGUGAGUAACACGUGGAUAACCUACCUAUAAGACUGGGAUCACUUCGGGAAACCGGAGCUAAUACCGGAUAAUAUAUUGAACCGCAGGGUUCAAUAGUGAAAGACGGUUGUGCUGUCACUUAUAGAUGGAUCCGCGCCGCAUUAGCUAGUUGGUAAGGUAACGGCUUACCAAGGCAACGAUGCGUAGCCGACCUGAGAGGGUGAUCGGCCACACUGGAACUGAGCCACGGACCAGGCUCCUACGGGAGGCAGCAGUAGGGAAUCUUACGCAAUGGGCGAAAGCCUGACGGAGCAACGCCGCGUGAGUGAUGAAGGUCUUCGGAGCGUAAAACUCUGUUAUUAGGGAAGAACAAAUGUGUAAGUAACUAUGCACGUCUUGACGGUACCUAAUCAGAAAGCCACGGCUAACUACGUG
rnacentral:rRNA from 1 species